rnacentral:rRNA from 1 species
UACGGGGAGAGCAAGCGUUGUUCGGAUUUACUGGGCGUAAAGGGCACGUAGGCGGCGUAACAAGUCACUUGUGAAAUCUCCGGGCUUAACUCGGAGCGGCCAAGUGAUACUGUUGUGCUAGAGUGCGGAAGGGGCUACUGGAAUUCUCGGUGUAGCGGUGAAAUGCGUAGAUAUCGAGAGGAACACCUGCGGCGAAGGCGGGUAGCUGGGCCGACACUGACGCUGAGGCGCGAAAGCCAGGGGAGCGAACGGG